rnacentral:rRNA from 1 species
GAUGAACGCUGGCGGCGUGCCUAAUACAUGCAAGUCGAGCGAACAGACGAGGAGCUUGCUCCUCUGACGUUAGCGGCGGACGGGUGAGUAACACGUGGAUAACCUACCUAUAAGACUGGGAUAACUUCGGGAAACCGGAGCUAAUACCGGCUAAUAUAUUGAACCGCAUGGUUCAAUAGUGAAAGACGGCUUUGCUGUCACUUAUAGAUGGAUCCGCGCCGCAUUAGCUAGUUGGUAAGGUAACGGCUUACCAAGGCAACGAUGCGUAGCCGCCGUGAGAGUGGGGACGGCCACAGUGACGAUGAGCCUGGGUCCGAGCCCAUGGGGGAGGCCACAGAGGGGAAUGUUCCUCGAGGGGCGAAGGUGAACCAGUACAACAAAGCGAGAGUGAUAAAGGUCUAGGCUGCUUAAAACUUUUUUAUUGGGGAAGAAAACAUGUAAAGGAACCUGUGCGUGUCUGGGGGCUACCUAACAGAAAAGCCCCGGCAAGCUCCGUC